ensembl:ncRNA F45D3.14 ncRNA
GUGGUGUUUCACUCGGAAAAAAUAGAGUGCAUUCAAAGGGCAAAUCGCUUUUCUACCACGCGAGAGAAGCGUCUCGGGGAAAGGGCGAAGAGUGCGUUUGCGUAUGUGUGUG